rnacentral:rRNA from 1 species
GUUGAACGCUGGCGGCAGGCCUAACACAUGCAAGUCGAGCGGAGCGGCGGACGGGCGAGUAUUGCCUAGGUAUUUGCCUGGUGUUGGGGGAUAAAGGUAGGAAACGGGCGCUAAUACCUCAUACUUUUAGAUGAGAAUAGGUCGGAUUAGCUAGUUGGUGGGGUAAUGGCCUACCAAGGCGAUGUUCCGUAACUGGUCUGAGAGGGUGAUCAGUCACACUGGAACUCAGACACGGUGCAGACUCCUACGGAAGGCAGCAGUGGGGAAGAUUGGACGAUGGGCGCAAGCCUAGCCGAGCGGUGCCGCGUGUGUGAAGAAGGUCUUCGGAUUGUAAAGCACUGUCGGGUGGGAGGCGGUACCGACAGAAGAAGCCCCGGCAAUUUUCGUGCCAGCAGCCGCGGUAAUAC